AACGCUAGCUACAGGCUUAACACAUGCAAGUCCAGGGGCAGCAUUUUAGUUUGCUUGCAAACUGAAGAUGGCGACCGGCGCACGGGUGAGUAACACGUAUCCAACCUGCCGAUAACUCCGGAAUAGCCUUUCGAAAGAAAGAUUAAUACCGGAUAGCAUACGAAUAUCGCAUGGUAUUUUUAUUAAAGAAUUUCGGUUAUCGAUGGGGAUGCGUUCCAUUAGUUUGUUGGCGGGGUAACGGCCCACCAAGACUACAAUGGAUAGGGGUUCUGAGAGGAAGGUCCCCCACAUUGGAACUGAGACACGGUCCAAACUCCUACGGGAGGCAGCAGUGAGGAAUAUUGGUCAAUGGGCGAGAGCCUGAACCAGCCAAGUAGCGUGAAGGAUGAAGGCUCUAUGGGUCGUAAACUUCUUUUAUAUGGGAAUAAAGUUUUCCACGUGUGGAAUUUUGUAUGUACCAUAUGAAUAAGGAUCGGCUAACUCCGUGCCAGCAGCCGCGGUAAUACGGAGGAUCCGAGCGUUAUCCGGAUUUAUUGGGUUUAAAGGGAGCGUAGGUGGAUUGUUAAGUCAGUUGUGAAAGUUUGCGGCUCAACCGUAAAAUUGCAGUUGAAACUGGCAGUCUUGAGUACAGUAGAGGUGGGCGGAAUUCGUGGUGUAGCGGUGAAAUGCUUAGAUAUCACGAAGAACUCCGAUUG
rnacentral:rRNA from 1 species